UUACCAGCUCUUGACAUCUUCUGACAACUCUAGAGAUAGAGCGUUCCCUUCGGGGACAGAAUGACAGGUGGUGCAUGGUUGUCGUCAGCUCGUGUCGUGAGAUGUUGGGUUAAGUCCCGUAACGAGCGCAACCCUUGUCGUUAGUUGCCAGCAUUAAGUUGGGCACUUUAACGAGACUGCCGGUGAUAAACCGGAGGAAGGCGGGGAUGACGUCAAAUCAUCAUGCCCCUUAUGAGCUGGGCUACACACGUGCUACAAUGGAUGGUACAACGAGCAG
rnacentral:rRNA from 1 species